UAUAGCUCGCACAGUUCGGCAAGUGAGCGGCAAAGCUCAAUUUGAAUCUAGCACUUUCAGCGUUCGAGUUGUAAUUUGAAGAAAGUCUCCUUGAAUAGUCCUUUAUCUAUGUUCCUUGGAACAGGACGUCAUAGAGGGUGAGAACCCCGUAUGAUUUUGGAUCCUAUUCUCUGUGGGAGUCUUUCGAAGAGUCGAGUUGUUUGGGAAUAA
rnacentral:rRNA from 1 species